AUAGGCUACGGCGAUAUGACUCCUCAUACAUACCUCGGUCGAAUUAUAGGUUCCAUGUGUGCUCUCGCAGGGGUUCUAACAAUUGCCCUGCCAGCACCGGUAAUUAACCAAA
rfam:Enterobius vermicularis genome assembly, scaffold: EVEC_scaffold0000021